GAGGGUGAAAGCCCAUGACCCAUUGCAAUGCCGUGUUCUGCACGUUAAACAUAGUCGUGUUGGCUUCGGACACACGUUAAAGACGCGAAAAAGCCCUGUUUACGAAUCUAAUGUGAAAGAACUUUACAACCAAUGACGUUGGAUCCCUUGGCAUGCCUGAUCGAUGAAGACCGUUGCCAACUGCGAUAAGUGGUGUGAUGCGCAAGUCUAAAACUUAUAAGUGAACCAUCGAAUUGUUGAACGCACUGCACCGAGCUCUACCCGAGCACGGUAUGUCCCAUUGAGCGCUAUUAAUGUCUUCGAGAGGGCUGAUCUUUGGUUGGCACCCGGGUUCGGAGUCCACAGUGCCCUUGCACUGCGUUCUCUCAGAUGGAUUUGAAUGGUGUCUGGUUGCACUGGAACCUCUAUGUCAUGAGAAUGCAUGGAGUGCCCGUUAAGCGCCUGAUGCCUGGGACAGCACAGAUGAUGGCUGUCCAAGCAUGCUUAAUUGAGAAUGUAGCCUCACUGGGACAAGACAACCCGCUAGACUUAAGCAUAUUAAUCAGCGGAGGAAAAGAAACUAACUAGGAUUCCCUCAGUAACUGCGAGUGAAGCGGGAUGAGCUCAAUGUGUGAAU
rnacentral:rRNA from 1 species